UUGGUGGUGGGCACAAUGGAGCGGAGCCCUGACAAGCUACAUGCUGGUGCUGCAAUAACGUGCUGAUGCUGACCAGGCUUUUGCUGUUUGCUGCAAGGACACUAGCCAGAUGAAUACCAGGUGGAUGUGGGGAGGAAGAGGCAGAUUUUUUUUCUUGUUUUCCUUCUCUAAAGCUAAUUACGAUGAUUGUGGAUAUAGAAGAGAGGAGAAAUUGUUUACACAUGAAGGCACCAAUUUCCUUCUGUGGCUUGUUUGAAGCUUGUGUCUGGGAAACCUUGCAAUAAUCUCCACAUGCCAGGUCACCCAGAAUAGCAGCACUCAGUGGCAGCUUCAAGACUGGCCCUGAAGUAGAGGACUGGACCUCAACUUCAGCCCUAAUGCCAUUGCUGCCAUUCAAAAAGAUCACCUCACCCCAUUUCCCAAGGCACGACUGUCCUGCAAACAAGGAUGCCCCAGGAUAUGCUGCCCACCGCCUACAUUGAUGUGGUCUUCUCUUUCUGUUGACAGGGCCCUGAGGGCUACCUGAGGCUGCUCCCAGUCACAUGAGGCCUUCAUUCUUGAAGUGGCUUUGAAGAAUCCUUCUGAAGCCUCUGAACAUCACACCAAAGCAUGGCCCAUUUUCACAUGAGUUUUGGAGGCUCUAGAGCAGUGAAGCCUCCGGUGGUGCAGUGUUUAGAAUGCAGAAUUGCAGGCUACUGUACUUCUGCUGCCUGCUGGCUGCCUGCAAUUUGGCAAUUCGAAUCUCACCAGGCUCAAAGUUAAUUCAACCUUCCAUCCUUCUGAGACUUGUCAACAAGAUGGAAGCAAGUCAUUGUUUUCUAGAAUGAGACCUGGUGGCACAAAUAAAAAGACCUGUCUCUGCUAUAGACUAAUGAUGUGGCUAUACUUGUCAUCUUGUGGAGAUAUGACUGAACUGGGUGCUGUUGACAAACAUCACCGUUGUAGGAUAUGUUUGCUUUAUAGUUUCUGAAACUAUUCAACAGAAAAGACAGCUGUCUCUGCUAGGUAGCUGAGCUGUCAAGUGAAAGCAAGACAAAUCAUGAAAAAUAGUUUCCUAAUAAAUAUUUCUAUGUUUGACACUUCCAUUAAA